GGGAGUAAAGUUAAUACCUUUGCUCAUUGACGUUACCCGCAGAAGAAGCACCGGCUAACUCCGUGCCAGCAGCCGCGGUAAUACGGAGGGUGCAAGCGUUAAUCGGAAUUACUGGGCGUAAAGCGCACGCAGGCGGUUUGUUAAGUCAGAUGUGAAAUCCCCGGGCUCAACCUGGGAACUGCAUCUGAUACUGGCAAGCUUGA
rnacentral:rRNA from 1 species